GCAGUGUUAUUUUGACAGCUGCACGACUACACGUCUGCAGGCCGACAGUUGUCGUUCUCGCUAACUUCAAUAUCCUCCUAUUUUUGCCAACGACAGUAGAGUUGACAGUAGAAUGGAAGAUAGAAAGAGGAGGUAGAGUGGUGAUGCCACUAAUAUGUAAAAUGUAAAAUUAUUCACAGCUCUAACAAACUUGACGUUAUUUUACAAAUAAAAGCAUAAAAUAGCUAUAUUAUAGCUCUAUUAUAUCAUUUGUAAUAACAAUUGAUAAUUUAAAGCAAAAAUAUUUACCUAUUUACUUAUUUUUUGCAUAAAAAAUUUCACUUUGAACAAAAUAUUAAAAUUUCAUUGAAGUGAAAGGAAUUAGUAUGGCCACAACGAAAUUGUGUACAUACAAAAUGGACAACUGCGUUGUUUUGUGUACAUGCCGGCCAUUGUGUUGUUGUUGCUUCUCAAAAUGUACAUGUAGUAAGAUGAACAACGACGUUUUCAGUUCACUGUCGUGCUGCUGCAGUCUGUCGCGCUCUAUGUGUUCACCACUUCAAAUAAAAUUCGAAGAUCGUUCUCUUUCUUCUUGGAAACUCGUCGUAUAAGGACGUACCCACACGAACGCUCUACAUAUGUAUAUGUAUAUCGGUAUAAGGCCAAAGAGGAGAAAAAGAAAACAUCUUUUCCCGCGUUUUUUACCAAAGGAUUGUGGGCACACUGUUCGUCAAUCAUUCUUCUUAGAAAUUCACAGUUUCAACUGAAUACUUAAUUCGUAGUUUCUAGAAGCGUCACUUAGUGUUCAGACGCCAAGAAGAGUGCAAGUGUUCAAAAAUUAGCUUCAAUAAAUAAUAAGUACAAGUGUUGGCUUUAAUAAAAGUAAUCUUCAUUUUUACAACAUAGGAGUGAAAAACAGUGAAUACGGAAAACAACAGUGCGCCAUCCCACGAUAAAGCAAAACAUUUUUUAUAUCUUUUUUCUCAAAUACAACAAAUGAAGUUUAAUUCGACAAACCAACAGUGAGACAUUCAACAAGUGAACACACAUUUCGAUCAAUAACAACAACACAGGAUAAAGGAAUUAUAAUCCACUGCAGGAGUGAAAAACAGUGAAUACGGAAAACAACAGUGCGACAUCCCACGAUAAAACAAAACUGUCAAAAGAAAUACGUUUAGAACAUAGACGUAGAGGACAACUUUCGCCUGAACUCAGACCCACUCGCACUACCAUAAUUCCAAAUUCCAAAAAUUCUUCGGACAUGAAAUUCGGACAUGAAAGAAUUAUGAUAGAUAUUGCUGCAGCUUUAACAAACUCUUUACUUUCAACUUCAACCAGUGAUGGCAUGCCUAGCGAAAUAAAGCAAUAUCUAGAUCAGCCUAUAAUACUCAGAAAAGAGAAUCCAACAAAAUUCUGGUUUGAUUGUCGUCAUUUUACCCCAGUCCUUUCCGACAUAGCUCUAAAGUAUUUGAUAUCGCCUGCGUCCUCGGUUUCCUCGGAGAGGGUGGCAUCUGCUGUGAAUCUCGCAGUACGCAAUAACAGAAGUCGGUUUACAGCCGAGCACGUAAAUCAAAGAGUUUUUCUUAUGUCUGUAUCAGAUAAAUGUUGGUUUGAUUAAUAAAUAAAUAAUGUGUUAA